GGUUGUAUAGUGUAGUGGUUAGCACGUGGGAUUUUGAUUCGGAUCUGAUUUUCAAAUCGGACACACAACACUUUGUUUGUUUAAUAGCAACAAUUUUCCCGAAUCCCCGGUUCGAGCCCGGGUACGACCU
rnacentral:tRNA from 1 species